AUCCAUCCCUGACGGUCGUUUGGGGCCGAUUAGCUCCCCUUUGGUAGGGUUUACCGAUGAUGCUAUCCUGGUGGAGGGGGUAAUAACUUUGACUAUAGCUGCGGGUCGAUAUCCAAGGCAGUCCAGGGCCUUGGUGGAUUUCCUAAUGGUGAAGGCACCGUCAGCCUACAACGCAAUUCUUGACCGACCUGGCCUCAACACCCUCCGGGC
rnacentral:lncRNA from 1 species